UACGGAGGGUGCGAGCGUUGUCCGGAAUCACUGGGCGUAAAGGGCGCGUAGGUGGCUCGUGAAGCGUGCGGUGAAAGUCCGAGGCUCAACCUGGAGUCGCCAUCCGAUACUGCCAUGGCUAGAGUCCGGUAGGGGCCCACGGAAUUCCUGGUGUAGCGGUGAAAUGCGCAGAUAUCAGGAGGAACACCGAUGGCGAAGGCAGUGGGCUGGGCCGGCACUGACGCUGAGGAGCGAAAGCGUGGGGAGCGAACAGG
rnacentral:rRNA from 1 species